ACAGUGAGCCACUGUGGGGCUUUGCCUGCAGCAGACCAUGACAGCCCUGAAGGGCUGUGCACCUUGGAAGUGGGCAGAGGACCCACCCAUCCUACCCCUCCCACACAGUCCCCCACCCACACACAAUCCUCCCACCCCCACAUUCCCGCUUACCAGUGACAGAGUAUGGAUCUGGGCCACUGCUGCCAACCUUGCCCCACUUCUUUUUGCUCCAUCACGCUGAGGCAGUGUGCUGGAGCAGCAGGGGCAUGUGGCAGGCAUAGAGAUGCUCUGGCUGGGUACUGGAGCAUCUCUCUGGAGGACCCAGCCACUGGUUGCUUCAGGACACAUUCCAGGAGUGUACCCUGCACUACUUUUUUCUAGUGUAUUUCUUUUUUUAUACCAGGAUUUCCCACUAUUAAACUUAGAGUCUGCGCUGCAAAUAUACAGCAAGGGGAACAUUUUUUUGUUCCUAUUGUGCCUCCUGCAGUAUCUCAAACUGCUCUGAGAUGCCACAACAUGCAUGUGCUCACUUACUGGAUGCAGCCUAAUUCAGCUUUUGUUAAGAUUUUUGCACACCAAUUCCAUAUGGCCCAUCUUCAGAAAAAUGUUAGCUGAAUAAGGAUACUUUUCAUGAAUUGAAUAAGUAUGUACUGAAGAAUAUUUAGACUGAUCCAUAUUGCCUAGCUCACUGCACAGUUUUCUUUUUGCUUGUUUUGUAAUUAUGUCUAUCCAAAUUCUAGGAGUGUGCACACGUACGUACAUUAUUUAUGCAUAUAAACUAAAAAUGUGAAAAUUCAAUAACCAGUAGAGCUGUAUUGUAUAUAUAAGGUUUGUAUGGCUAUUGAGCUGUUUUUUUACUGUAAACUUAGUGUAAUAGUAGUGUGCUUUACUUAUUUUUCUAAAAAUGUCACCUCUUUAGAUACUGAAUAUCCUGUUAGGCUAAGCUGGAAGUAAAACCACAAGAAGGAUGUAUACAACCAUAGUGGGAGGGCACAUUAAACUGUAGAUCAAAAAUAAAAUGGAAUAAUUACCUUCUGGGAGGAAGUAAAUCUUCAAACAAGAUUUAAAAUUCUUUAUUUCCUUUCAAACUAGGUCUUUACCUAACUUGUCCAGUCUAGAGCUGAUAUCAGGGCAGAUCACUUAAAAUCCAGAAUAAGAAAAUGAAAGACUACCUUCCCAACAGUCCUGUCAGAUUUCCCAUCCCAGAGCUUGGUUUUCAGAUCUUAUGCCCAGAGCCUUUGCUAGCGCUUUUGGGAAGGACUCAAGAAUGUUAUCUUAACAGCUAGACCCCACCUUAACCUGACCAAAAAAGAAGCAAUUGGAGAAUGAACUGCUCUCUGCUUUUACUGGUCUGUCUACAUCGUUCUUGAAGUGCAGGAUUCAAAACAGGACACAGUACUCCAACACUUCACCAAUACUGAAUGGAGCACAAGAAUCACUUCCCUUGAUUUGCAAGUGACACUUCUGUUGAUACAACCUAGUGGGUUUGUCUACAUGAGAUGUUUUACUGUGCAAUAGACUAAUUUACUGCACAAUAAAGCAUCAGUAUCUACACAUAUGAACCAUCUAUUGUGCAGUAAAUUAGUCUACUGCACAGUUAGCUACUACCUGUAAAUACAGCACAAUAGAGCAUGUGUAGAUGCUGACCAGAAGGGGGACAGUUCCCGGCUAGCUCCAGGCUGCUCAAGGAAAUUUUGGUGUAGCCCACCGCAGGCUGGGAGCUGCCCCAGAAACGGAACAGCUCUCAGCCAGCCCCAGGCUGCCCCAGGAAGUCCUGCUGGGCACGGGGCUUGUACCCAUGUGCACAAGGCUGGGAGAACUCUGCAGUGGCAGCUGUCUCCUGGCCCCAUGCACAUCAGGACCCUUCCUGAUCUGUAUGGGGCAAAGCGACACCUGCUGGUGCAGCCAGCAGAGCUCUCCUGGCCCCAUACACAUGGGGACCAGCCCCAUCAUAGGUGGUAGAAGGCGGGGGCUAACAGGGCUUUGUUCCCCAAAUGUGGGGCAGUGGUAGGGCCAAAAGACAGCCUAGCCAUGGGCUGCCAGUGCAGCAGGGGUGGGGAAGAAGUGGGACUGUGGGUAGGGGAGGGGCAGGUGCUGCACAGCAGGUGGGGUGCAGGACUGAGCUGCAAGUGGCUCAUCUGGGGGACAUGGUUUCUGCUGCUACACACACCCUGGGAAGCAUGGGGAUGUGUGGCCCUGCAUCUGCAUGGGGCAGGGCAGAUUGCCGUUGUGGGCUGGGGCCCAGGCAGCACCAGACUCUCCCAACUCGGGAGGCAGUUGGGGCUGGUGCGGGGAUGGGGAGUGGCAUAGUCAUUGGCAUGGUGAGCGCUUGUGCUGGGCAAUGACUGCAGGUGCGGGAGAAGGGGCAGCCCCACGGGCGCAGCAUGCCCCGACCCCAAUCCUGUUCCUGGGCCUGGCUCCGCUCUACUCCCUCCCGAUCCCUGCAGGGUCCCAGCCCCAGCCCCACUCCUCCCCUCCCACGGCCCUUUCCCCUCCCCCCUCACACCUUCCCUUGAAGACUUUCUUGCCUGGGGGGAAGGGGCACAUGCACGCACUCAUGCUCAACCCCCUCAAAAAAAACUUUCUCUCUCCACCUAUGAGCCCCAUACUCCCUUCCAGGCCCUGGACUGGCACCCCAGGGAAGCCUGGGGGGAGCCACCUUGUACUGGGCUGCUCCCAUUGGAAGCAGAUUUGCUCCCACCUGGGAGCAUUUCUAGAUGUGCUUCCAGGGAAGGCUUACUGCACAGUAUUUUACUUCACAAUAAGCCUUUAUAACAUUAAUAGAGUGUGUAGAUGUGCCCAGUAUGCUGUUGGUCUUUUUUCACAACAAGAGCACACUGUUGGCUCAUAUUUGUCAUAACUAAAAGCAACUAUGCCUAUGUCACAAACAAGAAACGAAACUUAAGCCUUCCUCGCUUUCCAUUGUAAUUGGUCAGAGUGAAAGGGAAUAUCCCCGCAAUAAAUCCCUGCAAUAAAACCCUGACGAAAACUGCUGUAUAAUUGGCGAUUCUAACACAAACCAGAUGACGUGGCAUAAAUCAAUUGGUUAUAACACAAACAAAACCAGCUUGCACUUCCGCCCUAAUCGGAGAACUCUGAACACACACAGCAGAGUAACUUGGCGGUUUGAUCACCCACCAAUAACUCCCCGUCAUCGUUAUCAUCAAACCCCCCCCCGCAGGCUCAUCAGCUCAGUCACGGCAUCUCGUUCAUCAUGCACGGUCGAUUGUAACCAGAUACGUACACUCGGUUGUAACUAAAGCAAGUCUGCUACCUGCAUCGUAUUUCAUCCUGAGGCGGCGUAAGUAAACAAUCUCCUAUAACCAA